UACGAAGGGGGCUAGCGUUGUUCGGAAUUACUGGGCGUAAAGGGCGCGUAGGCGGUACUUCAAGUCAGGCGUGAAAGCCCCGGGCUCAACCUGGAACGCACGCUGAGACUGAAGAACUAGAGUUCGGGAGAGGAUGGUGGAAUUCCCAGUGUAGAGGUGAAAUUCGUAGAUAUUGGGAAGAACACCGAUGGCGAAGGCAGCCAUCUGGACCGACACUGACGCUGAGGCGCGAAAGCGUGGGGAGCAAACAGG
rnacentral:rRNA from 1 species